GAUGAAGAACGUAGCGAAAUGCGAUAAGUAAUGUGAAUUGCAGAAUUCAGUGAAUCAUCGAAUCUUUGAACGCACAUUGCGCCCCCUGGUAUUCCGGGGGGCAUGCCUGUUCGAGCGUCAUUUCACCACUCAAGCCUCGCUUGGUAUUGGGCAACGCGGUCCGCCGCGUGCCUCAAAUCGACCGGCUGGGUCUUCUGUCCCCUAAGCGUUGUGGAAACUAUUCGCUAAAGGGUGUUCGGGAGGCUACGCCGUAAAACAACCCCAUUUCUAAGGUUGACCUCGGAUCAGGUAGGGAUACCCGCUGAACUUAAGCAUAUCAUAAGCGGAGGA
rnacentral:misc_RNA from 1 species